rnacentral:rRNA from 1 species
AAUCAACGCUGGCGGCGUGCCUAACACAUGCAAGUCGAACGCGAAAGCCCUUUCGGGGGUAAGUAGAGUGGCGUCCGGGUGAGUAACACGUAGGUAAUCUGCCUUCGGGUGGGGAAUAACCAGUCGAAAGAUUGGCUAAUACCGCAUAAUGCAGCGGCACCUAAUGGUGAUUAGUUGUUAAAGCGGGGGAUCGUAAGACCUCGCGCCUGAAGAGGAGCCUGCGGCAGAUUAGCUAGUGGUGAGGUAAUGGCUCACCAAGGCUUCGAUCUGUAGCUGGUCUGAGAGGACGGCCAGCCACACUGGCACUGACACGACGGGCCAGACUCCGUAC